rnacentral:rRNA from 1 species
CAGGCUUAACACAUGCAAGUCGAGGGGCAGCAUGAACUUAGCUUGCUAAGUUUGAUGGCGACCGGCGCACGGGUGAGUAACACGUAUCCAACCUGCCGAUGACUCGGGGAUAGCCUUUCGAAAGAAAGAUUAAUACCCGAUGGCAUAGUUCUUCCGCAUGGUGGAGCUAUUAAAGAAUUUCGGUCAUCGAUGGGGAUGCGUUCCAUUAGGUUGUUGGCGGGGUAACGGCCCACCAAGCCUUCCAUGGAUAGGGGUUCUGAAAGGAAGGUCCCCCACAUUGGAACUGAAACACGGUCCAAACUCCUACGGGAGGCAGCAGUGAGGAAUAUUGGUCAAUGGACGAAAGUCUGAACCAGCCCAGUAGCGUGAAGGAUGACUGCCCUAUGGGUUGUAAACUUCUUUUAUACGGGAAUAAAGUGAGGCACGUGUGCCUUUUUGUAUGUACCGUAUGAAUAAGGAUCGGCUAACUCCGUGCCAGCAGCCGCGGUAAUACGGAGGAUCCGAGCGUUAUCCGGAUUUAUUGGGUUUAAAGGGAGCGUAGAUGGGUUGUUAAGUCAGUUGUGAAAGUUUGCGGCUCAACCGUAAAAUUGCAAUUGAUACUGGCAGUCUUGAGUACAGUUGAGGUAGGCGGAAUUCGUGGUGUAGCGGUGAAAUGCUUAGAUAUCACGAAGAACUCUGAUUGCGAAGGCAGCUCUACUAACCUGUAACUGACAUUGAUGCUCGAAAGUGUGGGUAUCAAACAGGAUUAGAUACCCUGGUAGUCCACACGGUAAACGAUGAAUACUCGCUGUAGGCGAUAUACAGUCUGCGGGCAAGCGAAAGCAUUAAGUAUUCCACAUGGGGAGUAUGCCGGCAACGGUGAAACUCAAAGGAAUUGACGGGGGGCCGCACAAGCGGAGGAACAUGUGGUUUAAUUUGAUGAUACGCGAGGAACCUUAUCCGGGGUUAAAUUGCAACGGAAUAUGGCGGAAACACUAUAGAUAGCAAUAGCGUUUGUGAAGGUGCUGCAUGGUUGUCGUCAGCUCGUGCCGUGAGGUGUCGGCUUAAGUGCCAUAACGAGCGCAACCCUUGCCGAUAGUUACUAACAGGUCAUGCUGAGGACUCUGUCGGGACUGCCAUCGUAAGAUGUGAGGAAGGUGGGGAUGACGUCAAAUCAGCACGGCCCUUACGUCCGGGGCUACACUCGUGUUACAAUGGGGGGUACAGAGGGCUGCUACCACGCAAGUGGAUGCCAAUCCCAAAAACCUCUCUCAGUUCGGAUUGAAGUCUGCAACCCGACUUCAUGAAGCUGGAUUCGCUAGUAAUCGCGCAUCAGCCACGGCGCGGUGAAUACGUUCCCGGGCCUUGUACACACCGCCCGUCAAGCCAUGGGAGCCGGGGGUACCUGAAGUGCGUAACCGCAAGGAGCGCCCUAGGGUAAAACUGGUGACUGGGGC